rnacentral:rRNA from 1 species
AACACCCGAAGUCGGUGAGGUAACCGUAAGGAGCCAGCCGCCGAAGGUGGGGUAGAUAACUGGGGUGAAGUCGUAACAAGGUAUCCGUACCGGAAGGUGCGGAUGGAUCACCUCCUUUCUAUGGAGA